UACGUAGGGUCCAAGCGUUAUCCGGAAUCACUGGGCGUAAAGCGUGCGUAGGCGGGAGUCUAAGUGAGAAAUUAAAUCGUGUGGCUCAACCAUAUCGAUGUUUCUCAUACUGGGCACCUAGAGGAAGGCAGAGGCAAGUGGAAUUCCUGGUGUAGCGGUGGAAUGCGUAGAUACCAGGAGGAACACCAAUGGAGAAGGCAGGCUACUGGACAGAAGGUGACGCUGAGGCGCGAAAGUGUGGGGAGCGAACCGG
rnacentral:rRNA from 1 species